GAUCAUGGCUCAGGAUGAACGCUAGCUACAGGCUUAACACAUGCAAGUCGAGGGGCAGCAUGUUGGUUGCUUGCAACCAAUGAUGGCGACCGGCGCACGGGUGAGUAACGCGUAUCCAACCUACCCUUGUCCAUCGGAUAACCCGUCGAAAGGCGGCCUAACACGAUAUGCGGUUCACAGCAGGCAUCUAACGUGAACGAAAUGUAAAGGAGAAGGAUGGGGAUGCGUCUCA
rnacentral:rRNA from 1 species